CCUACGGGAGGCAGCAGUAAGGAAUAUUGCUCAAUGGGAGAAAUCCUGAAGCAGCAACGCCGCGUGGAGGAUGAAAUACUUUUGUAUGUAAACUCCUGUAAGAAGGGAAAAAUAUGCAAUUAUUUUGCGUUGAUUGUACCUUCAGAGUAAGCCCCGGCUAACUACGUGCCAGCAGCCGCGGUAAUACGUAGGGGGCUAGAGUUGUCCGGAUUUACUGGGUGUAAAGGGUGCUCAGGCGGAUUUGUAAGUCAGAGGCGAAAUCCCAAAGCUUAACUUUGGAGCUGCCUUUGAUACUGCAAGUCUUGAGUGUGAGAGAGGGUAAUGGAAUAUCUGGUGUAGCAGUGAAAUGCGUAGAUAUCAGAUAGAACACCAAUGGCGAAGGCAGUUACCUGGCUCAAUACUGACGCUAAAGCACGAAAGUGUGGGGAGCAAACAGGAUUAGAUACCCUGGUAGUCCACACCCUAAACGAUGAAUACUAGAUGUUGGUCCUUUUCAGGGUCAGUAUCCAAGCUAACGCAUUAAGUAUUCCACCUGGGAAGUACAAUCGCAAGGUUGAAACUCAAAGGAAUUGACGG
rnacentral:rRNA from 1 species